rnacentral:rRNA from 3 species
UGGGGAAUAUUGCACAAUGGAGGGAACUCUGAUGCAGCGACGCCGCGUGAACGAAGAAGGCUUUCGAGUCGUAAAGUUCUUUUUUAUGGGAAGAUAAUGACGGUACCAUAAGAAAAAGCCCCGGCUAACUACGUGCCAGCAGCCGCGGUAAUACGUAGGGGGCUAGCGUUGUCCGGAAUCACUGGGCGUAAAGGGUUCGCAGGCGGAAAUGCAAGUCAGGUGUAAAAGGCAGUAGCUUAACUACUGUAAGCAUUUGAAACUGCAUAUCUUGAGAAGAGUAGAGGUAAGUGGAAUUUUUAGUGUAGCGGUGAAAUGCGUAGAUAUUAAAAAGAAUACCGGUGGCGAAGGCGACUUACUGGGCUCAUUCUGACGCUGAGGAACGAAAGCGUGGGUAGCAAACAGG